rnacentral:rRNA from 1 species
UACGGAGGAUGCAAGCGUUAUCCGGAAUGAUUGGGCGUAAAGCGUCCGCAGGUGGCUGUGUAAGUCUGCUGUUAAAGAGUGAGGCUCAACCUCAUAAAGGCAGUGGAAACUACAUAGCUAGAGUACGGUCGGGGUAGAAGGAAUUCCUGGUGUAGCGGUGAAAUGCGUAGAGAUCAGGAAGAACACCGGUGGCGAAAGCGUUCUGCUAGACCUGUACUGACGCUGAGGCGCGAAAGCGUGGGGAGCAAACAGG